ensembl:snRNA U6 U6 spliceosomal RNA
GUGCUUGCUUCGACAGCACAUACACUAAAAUUUGAACAAUACAGAGAUAAGUGUGACCCCUGCCCAAAAAUGACAAACAAAUUCGUGAAGCAUUCCAUGUAAAA